rnacentral:rRNA from 1 species
CCCUUAGAUGUUCUGGGCCGCACGCGCGCUACACUGACGGAGCCAACGAGUCUUUUCCUUGUCCGGAAGGACUGGGUAAUCUUGUGAAACUUCGUCGUGCUGGGGAUAGAGCAUUGCAAUUAUUGCUCUUCAACGAGGAAUUCCUAGUAAGUGCAAGUCAUCAGCUUGCGCUGAUUACGUCCCUGCCCUUUGUACACACCGCCCGUCGCUACUACCGAUUGAAUGGUUUAGUGAGAUCUCUGGAUUGACGCUGGCUAGGGGGCGACCCUUGGCCAGGCUGUCGAGAAACUGCUCAAACUUGAUCAUUUAGAGGAAGUAAAAGUCGUAACA